GACGAACCGUGCGAACGUUAUUCGGAAUCACUGGGCUUAAAGCGCGUGUAGGCGGGCCGGCGCGUCCGAGGCUGAAAUCCCCCGGCUCACCGGGGAACGGGCCCGGAUACGGCCGGCCUGGAGGGGGGUAGGGGGAGCCGGAACUCACGGUGGAGCGGUGAAAUGCGUUGAGAUCGUGAGGAACGCCCGUGGCGAAAGCGGGCUCCUGGGCCCCGCCUGACGCUGAGACGCGAAAGCCAGGGGAGCGAACGGG
rnacentral:rRNA from 1 species